GCCCCCGUGGUAUUCUCCAGGGCUGCUGGUCCUCCACCCGGCCUCGGGACAAAGGAGACCAUUCCCUGAGUUCCUGUGGUCUCCACUCUGUCUCAGCAAAACUUCAUGCUCUAGGGUACGUGGGAGCAGAGACACCUCACGGGCUGCCGGGAGCCCCAGGACGUGGAGGAGCAGGCCGACCGCAAGGGAGGCUCAGUGUCUCUCCACGUGCUGUCAGUGUCACACUGUCACACGAUGACACCCAUAGAAGUGUCCGGGGAACUGUAGUUUUUGGAGGUGUUUCCUCUGCUCGCUCACAGCUAGGGCUGUUCUGCGUACAAGUCUCCAAUAAUGAAAGGAAACUUCAUGGAUCUAAAUCCAGGAAUUGAGGUGAUUCAAAAGCAGUUUCUGUGAAUGGUCCCCAAAUAGCUCUGAGUUCACCUAGGGACUCCCACAAUGACAGCCACUGUUUGCUCAGUCCGGGGAAAG